CAGCCGCCGCGGUAAAACGUAGGGUCCGAGCGUUGUCCGGAAUUAUUGGGCGUAAAGGGCUCGUAGGCGGUUUGUCGCGUCGGGAGUGAAAACCAGCAGCUUAACUGCUGGCCUGCUUUCGAUGCGGGCAGACUUGAGGCAUUCAGGGGAGAACGGAAUUCCUGGUGUAGCGGUGAAAUGCGCAGAUAUCAGGAGGAACACCGGUGGCGAAGGCGGUUCUCUGGGAAUGUUCUGACGCUGAGGAGCGAAAGUGUGGGGAGCGAACAGGAUUAGAUACCCGCGUAGUCCCUGUCUCUUAUAA
rnacentral:rRNA from 1 species